rnacentral:rRNA from 1 species
UACGGAGGGUGCAAGCGUUGUCCGGAUUUAUUGGGUUUAAAGGGUGCGUAGGUGGCUUGUUAAGUCCGGGGUGAAAGCCCACAGCUCAACUGUGGAACUGCCCUGGAUACUGGCGAGCUUGAGUCCAGACGAGGUUGGCGGAAUGGAAGCUGUAGCGGUGAAAUGCAUAGAUCGCUUCCAGAACCCCGAUUGCGUAGGCAGCUGACUAGGCUGGUACUGACACUGAGGCACGAAAGCGUGGGGAGCGAACAGG